AUUAGGCCAGCUGGUUCGGGUAGCUCGUCUAAUUUGAUUUUCGGGUAGCUGUUAGUUCGGUUCAAUUUUAAUCUUACUGAAUUCGUUUGAAUUAAAGUAAAUAUUUUCGGUUAGCUCGGUUCAAUAUUUGUAUUCGGUUAGUUUGAUUUUUUAAAAACUUGUCAAAAAUGUGGUUUGAUUAUUUUUUUUGGUUUUUAAAAUUUUUCUGAAGUAACUGAUUACCGAACCAACUGAAAACCAAACUUUUAGAAAAUAGUGAAUCAGACUCCUAUAACAGAACUAACUGAAAACUUCGUUUUGACUAGGAGGAUUCGGUUCGGUGUUCAAAAUCCCAGCUCCCAUUAAUGAUAAAUGGCCUUAAGAAUCAAAGCCCAGGAGGGUCUAUCAACCAUUCUUUCAUCAUCAUCAUCGCCGUCAAGCAAUGGUUAUUACGCGCUACUCAAACAUGUCACUGCUUAGGAGAUGGGAAGCCGUGCAGUAUGUAUUGCAACGUGUGGCAUCAUCAUCGUCGUCGUCAAGCAAAGGUCCUUUCCAAAUCUCUCUGUCCUAAUGUCAGGGUUAUUGCUGAAUGUGGCAACUGGUAAGCAUAUCACCCCUUUUUAUAUACUCAAUCAUCAAUGUUUGCACUUUGCAUGACCACCAACCCAUUCCUUUGCAUGUGGAAGCGCCUUGCAGAACUAGCUACACAAGAGCAACUUACUGAACUCAACCACCAAUGGAGCUUACCGUGUAUAGUUUUACACCUUCUGCAAGUGUAGCAGCAAUUCAAUAUUCAUCACAUUGUACAUGUCACUUUGUAAUAAUAUAUACCCUUUUUUUUUUUAUCCCAGUGGGUAAUUAAAGUAUAUUCUAUACUCUAUAUGUCACAAAUGAUUGAGCAAGAUUGGUGCGUGUCACAUCAAGAACUUUGAUCAAGAACAUGUGCAGCUAGCCAAAUAGAAACAAGCCCCUUGAUCGACUCUGGUCACUAGACUCAACUGAAUUGCAACAUAUUUGUAGUACACAGAAAUACAAGAAGCUCAGUAAUACACACUAGAAAGCACUCUUAAGACAAAGAUGGAUUUCCGACAAUGACAAAAAAAAA